ACCCCAUUUCAAGGCAAAAGAGCCCAAGAAUAGUACAAAUGGGCUCGACAUGGGUUGAACAUAGGGUUUUUGGCCUGAGCAUGCAAGUGUAUGGCCGGGUCAAUAAGUACGUGAUCAAUAUGUUGGGAAAAGCAGUAAUGGCCGAGCAAACCGAAAAGGAUAGGCUCAAUCUUCUCCCGCGAAGUUACUGGUCAAGAUACUAUGUCGAAUGCGACACUGCUAAAUUAUUCCAAAAGGCAUUUGAAACUCCAUUGGCGUUAUCUGUUCACCUGAGGGAGACAAUGAUAGGAUUCCAUCUUGACCGAAUUCACAUGGUAUUUUCGUAGUCCAGUAAACAAGC